ACUAAACAGGAUUCUCUUAGUAACUGCGAGUGAAACGAGAUUAGCCCAACAUCGAAGCCUCUUUGCUUUUGUGAAGAAGGCAAUGUGAUGUUAAGGCAUUUAAAUUCACAGACUGGCUAACUUGAAGUCCAUAUUUGACUGUGGCUUAUGCGUAUGCACCCAGAGAAGGUGAAAGGCCCGUUCAGGUUGGUAUUCCGAUAUGACAGCUCUGUGUAUAUUUAUUUGUCUUGGAGUCGGAUUGCUUGAGAGUGCAGUCCAAAACUGGUGGUAAACUCCAUCUAAGGCUAAAUACCUGUACGAAUCCGAUAGUCGACAAGUACCGUGAGGGAAAGUUGAAAAGUACUCUGAAGAGAGAGUAAAUAGUACGUGAAACUACAUGGAGGUUAAACAGAUAGAGUCAAGCUGCGU
rnacentral:rRNA from 1 species